CAUGUUCUUUUUUUCUGGUGAACGUCCCAAGAAUUAUAUCACCAGCAGAUAAGCUUAGGCGUUGCAUGUGGAUUCAGAGAGAAGAUUUUACUGGAGAAAUACCUGCACUCCCCAUCCCAAUCCAACAGAUAAAAUCGCUGAUGGCGCAGACCAUGAUCCAUCUGACCGGCGAGCAACUACAAGACCAGUGCCCAUUUUGUACGUAAGAACUGCACCUGCUUUGGCCACUGUGAGCACAGCAAGCCCUUUUGCUCCCUUGAGGAUAGAUGAUGGGAUUGACUUCUCAGGAUUUAAUCUAGAAACCUACACAUACCAAAAAAGAAACGCUUCUGAGCUCUGGAAUGCAAGUAUAUAUCAGUUGGGUACAAAAUUAAACAUACCUGGCAAUAUUUCCUCAGUGUGUUUGUUGCCUUGUAUAUUUCAUACUCCAUUGAUAGUCCAACAGGCAAAUUCAACCAGCUCCUCGUACUUGUCCAAUCCAUGACGUCAUGUUUGGCAGGCUGCAUGGCAUUGCUGUUGUAGUUGAUCAAUAAGGCCUGGAGUGGAUCAAGUCGGUCGUAGCAAGCAUCACACACUCUCUGAGGAUCACGCAGUCUGAACUUCAUGGGCAUCAAGCAUCUUCCCUUGGAACAUUCUUUGCAGAAUAUACCUCCACAGAAGCGGCAAUGGUGCCUUCCACGAGUCAGAGCUGUGAAAGGAAAGCUGCACUGCAGGCAUACACUGGCAGAGCUAUCCGGUAACCAUUCUGGGGGAUCUGCCUGCAGCACCUCCCUGUAUGCACUGAACUGUAAAGCAUUUGCUUCAAGUAGAGGUGGUGCACUCGGAACGCAGACAGAUGAAUGCAAGUCACCAUCCUUGCCAGCGCCUAGAAAUGAUACAUCUGUGCUGAAACUUUGCUGCCGUGAUGCAUCAUCCCCAACCUUGCUUGGGCGCGAAACAAUCGCAGCAAGACCACCUAGUACGGUCUUCAGAUUGAUAGUUGAACUAGCUUGAGCUGUAGGGAACGGAUCUUCUCUUGAACCAUAUUCAGAUGGAAAGUCUGGUUCCAGAGAUGGCUCAUAGAGAUAGUCAUGCACUGGGUAUGUGUUUCCUGGAGCUAGAUUGGACAUAGGAUCUGCCUGGCUGUGGUAGCUAUCGAAUUUGGAGAGGGAUGAGUACGACGUCACUUCAUUUGGGAUCUCCAUGGAAUCAUGUAGAUACAGCACUCAUGUAGGUAAUAAGCAAUGACACAAAAAGACCUAAAAAACAGAGAUGGCAACGAAGAUUAAUAAGGCACAGAUCCUUCAAAGUGUUUCUAGUCCAUAUAACAUUAUAACAAGCUCAUUCUUUCACCCCAAUUCAUUCAUUUUAUUGUCUACUAGCAGAUAUAGGGAUGCAGGCGGACGGCGUCCGCUUGUCCACGAAGCCAAAAACAUACUAAUCCUCAUUGCUUUAAUAACCAUGAUAAUUCUAAUUAUGCUUUCGCCAACGCUCACCGACGCCGUCUGUUUGCAUCCCUAAGCAGAUACAUCAAACUUUAUAGUCUAUAUACACGUAUUUGAGAUAUGGCUAAGAACUUUGAGUAGCAUUCUAAUUGAGCAUUUUAUUCAGUAGAACGCAUUGCAACAGAGCCACGAACGAUUCAUGUAACUCUAUGUGCAUCAUGAGUUCAAAUCAAGAGGUGAAAUCGCAGCUGCACUACAGCAAAACACACCCGAAGUAACUCCCCAAAAACAAGCUCUUACCCACGUAUACCUAUACCUAGCGUCUACGGGCAAGCAAGCAAGCAAUUGGGGGGGCAAUUUCUGAAACCCUAGACGAAACAGAUGGGUCGAUCAGCCGAAAAAUUAACCCUGCCUAGCCAGUAGAACAUCAAUCGCGAACAAACACCACAGAUGAAUCAAACAAUACUGCGUCAUCGAUCAAACGACUCGGCAAGGAUAAGGUAGCUAAGCUAAAUCAAUCGUCUCCAUCCGUCCGCCCUGACGAAUCGCCCCGCCGUAGAACGCGCGAGCCACGGAGGAGAACUGAGGGGGCGGGCGGUACCGACCUAUGGGCGCGCCGGAUCGGCGGGGGGCGAGGAUUCGGAGGCGAUCGUCGCGGGAGGAAGCGUCGGGCGUGGGGGAUCGGGCUGGGUUUCUUCCGUUCGCCGGCAAAGAUGGACGGAAGGGGGAAGAAGUUGAAGGGAGUAGCGAUGCGGGCACGCCCGCCGCACGCGGCUGCCUCAUCUGUACGUUAUCGGGCUCGGGCUUGGGCUGGGUCCUGGUCAAUCCGGUCCGACCUGGGUGGGUGGGCAGAGCCGUGACGGAUGCGGUUUGCUUUUCGGACCCGCGGGGCCCACUUCAGGCCCAGGAAGGCAGGUGACGCGGGGUGAUGGGCCGGCCGGUUUUGCGCCCUCUCUGUCGUGCUGCCGUGUGACGCCGGCCGCGGCAGAAAGCGAAAGCUCGACCGCUCGAGACUGGAGCGGCGCGACGGCGUGGCUCGCCCUGGUUCUUGUCAGCGGCCGCGGCUGCGAACUGGCGGUGUGGAGGAGGGCGGGCGGCGCACGCGUCUGGGUCUCCCGUCUGCGCUCCCAUCGCGUGUGAGUCCUCUACUUAGCUUGUUGCUUCGAUUCCGUGGAAAUCUCGCUGAAAUCUUUUGGGUUAGACCGAAUGACCAAAUUAUUUUAUCGUUGGUUGUAAAUUCUGUUCUCGAUGGUCUCUAAAUCAAUCGCCCAGAACCACCGACCAGCGAGCUCUGAACGUUGUCAGUUGUCACCCACCGCUCUUGCCAAAACCAAGAAAUUAUUAUGUCUUGGGGACUAAAAAAGAAUCGGAAUGGGAAGUACUCCCUAUGUAAAGAAACAUAAGAUCGUUUAGAUCACUAAGAUCUUAUAUUUCUUUGAAGGGGAGUACUAUUUAUUUCUUGAUUCUCUAGCUAACAUCAUUACUUCCUUCUUCAAUAAAAAUUCUCUGUUUUGGCUCGGUUUAAACCCAGAAAAGGCUUCUGCCACACGAAACCUGCUACGGUUAGGAAAUGAACAAAAGGUAUCAAGAGGUCCCUCGCCGUCAUUUGCAAUGUAAUUGCCCCCUAUUUGUCAAGUACUCCCUCCGUCCAGAAAUACUUGUCCGAGGAAUGGAUGUAUCUAGAUGUAUUUUAGUUCUAGAUACAACCAUUUAUAUCCAUUUCUACGACAAGUAUUUCCGGACGGAGGGAGUACCUCUCUUCCUAUAUAGUUUAGGGAGUUAAUGUAGCCCUAUCAGGUAUUUUAGUCAUAAGAUUUAUAGGAACGAAAAAAUAUGAUUUUUUUCCUUUCAUUUCAUUAGGGUGCGAGGGGUUCUUUUUCCACAAGAACGAAAUUACCUUUUUCAAUAUACUACAGGUUUUUAUUUAGAAAAGACAAUAUUUCAUACUGAAGGAUUUGGAUCCAUAACCACGAGUUCCAGUGCACUAAGGUCUUGUAGCUCUUGGCAACGAGGCCCUAUCCAAUAGUAUUCCUCAUAGAAAAUCCAUUCUAAAAAAACAACUAAACAAACUUGGGGUUUGUGAGCCAAGGUAAGAUUGAGGCGGAGGAGGAUGGAGAGUGGUAUAAUUGGUUGGUGGGAUGGAGGUGCUAGCUUGGCAAGAUAGGAAGUUCAAUGUGUAUGUAGAUUGGGUUUCACUGUUACCACCCUUUUCGAGAUCUUAUAGGAUUAGCAAGAUGUUCUAGUGUUAACUAUAGAGAAAUUUAAUGAAUGAAAUAUAUCUAAGAAGAAAGGAAGCCAUGUCUUUGUGAAAGUCUGAAGAAAAAGGAUUUUGAAUCUUCCUUUUCCUUUUUCCCUCAGAAAAAUGACUCAAUCAAAAUCCGGUCCUAAUAAAUGUUAAUUGCACAGAAUUUUGGGAAACUUGGGAGUAAAACAAAGACUAUCUUAUUCAUUCAUUCAAAUACUGUAUCCAUGAGAAAGUGCCAACAACACAGCAUCCAUCCAGUUCCCCUACCGCGACAACACGGGGACUCAACAGGAACUAAAGUUCAUCACUGAAUCAAGAACGGUAACAAAGGACAAGCAAAGGCAUAAGACGCUCCGAUCUGUGCUCCAUCACUGAAUCAAGAACGGUAAAGCGGAGCGCUCGCCCGCCAUUUAUUUCUCUGGUAAGGACAAAUCAUUUGCCCGAGGUCUCGCCCUCAACAGCCAAUGGGACAGUUUCAGCCUGCACACAACAAAGGCACAGAGAAAUUAAGUCUCAAGAUAUGAACCGAACUGAAAUUAUCAAGGUGGUCAAACGCAAUGUCAUGGCACAUACCAUUUUGCGGUACUUGAGGGCGUAGAGCAUUUCAAGGUACCGACGAGUCUCGCGCCUGUCGAGGUUGGAGACGUACUUCCAGAAACCAUAGACACCAGAAAGGGUCAUCAACCUCUCAGAGUACAGCUUCCAGGUGUACCUGCGUCAAGAUCCCAGGGCAUCAAUCUCAGCUCAGUGCUGUUAAAAGAGUCAGAGCAUGUGCAUCAGAUGGUAACAUAGAUAGGUAACAGAGAAUUGCAUAUAUACUUCUCCUCGAUGCGCUGGAGUCCUCCCUGCGAGAUCUUGUUCCAGUGGCUCGGGUCUUCCUUGCACUUCCCAAAGAAGUCCACGAGCAGUGCGGAGGCCUUGUCAUUCUGGUAAGGAUCGAUGUGGUAGCCGGACACGCCGUUGACAAUGAUCUCAGCUGGACCACCAUAUGCAGUGGCGAAUGUUGGAAGGCCACAUGUCAUGGCCUCUAUCACGGUAAGACCGAAAGCCUCAUAGAAAGCAGGCUGAGCACAGCAAGCCAAACAUGAAAAAAGAGGUGUCAGAACUAGUAAAUGUCGUGAUUCAGUCAUAGUGAGUUCCUAGGUUGACAGUGUCCUUCACCUGCACAAAGGCUCCCUUCAUGUCGCAGAUGUAGCGGUAGAGCUCACCAUUGCGAACACGGUUCAUCUGAGCAGAGAUCCAGCGGAUGUGACCAAUCAGGUUGUACUGUUCAAUAAGAUCAAACAUCUUCUUGAACUCUGCCUGCUCCUCCUUGUCCUUGGACACCUUUCCAUGGUCACCACAAACAACCACUAGGUUUACCAGCUCCUGUAGGCGAGGAUUCCGCCCAUACAUUUCUACCAGGCCAGUCAUAUUCUUGACACGGUCCAGCCUAGCCAUCGAGAAGAUGAUCGGCUUCUUCUUGUCCUUCAGCACAAAUCUGGAGAGGUAGUCAAGUUAGAUAACCAGCAUGGUAGGCAAUCUGUUUUAUAAGAACUCAAGAGUUAUAUAUGAUUAUACUUGUGCUCAGCAUUCUCAACAUCACUGAAGAGUAGCUCCUCAAUCUCAGUAUGGAGGGAGGUAAGCCUCUUCUGCUGUUCAGUGUAUGGGAAGUAGAUGGACAUGUCAGCACCAGGGGAGACGAUGUUGAACUUGGGGUCGAAGACAUCAAUACCAUGGACAACACGAUAGAGGCCUGGCAUUGUGAAUGCCAUGUGCGACUCGUACUGCCCUACGGUGUCCUUGCUGAAAAUUGGACGAUAACAUUAGAUCAGUUUAUGCUAUUUGCAAAUGACCACGGCGGUGUUUCUGUGAAAGAGAGAAUCUUACUUUCCGGCAAUCUCUUGGAAGGUACUGGUGAUGAUGAAGUCAGCAUGGUUCAUUGCAAUCAGGUCGGCUGUAAACUGGCAGGAGAAGUGGUAGUGAUCCUCAAAUUUCUUCCAGUAAAGGUCGGAGUUGGGGUACUUGGUUUUCUCGAGUGCAUGAGCAAUGGUACACUACGAGGAAAUAAGAAUUAUGAUAGGAUACUACGGAGAUGAGAAUACAUCUUGUACUGAGCAAAAGGGGAUAGAAUGCGUACAUGAGUUACUCCCAACUUGUGCGCCAACAAACAUGCUACUAGGUUGCCAUCGCUGUAGUUUCCAAUGAUCAGGUCAGGGGUGGCCUGCAGCUCUCCGGCGAUCUCGUGUGCCACAUCCUGAAAGCAACAGGAAAACAAAAUGAUGAAUUGCCAUUCUAAUGAAACGCUACAAAAAACCUGCUGGAAAGUGAAGUGCAUACAUCAGUGUAAGCUUCCAGGUAAGGCCAGACUUCAAAACGCGAGAUCCAUUUGCGAACAAUACCAUCUUCUGUUUUGAAUGGCACACGCAGGAUGUGGGUGUGCUCGGUGCCAAGGACCUUCUCAAGGCGCUGGCCACAGGUGGUGCCAUGUGCAUCAGGGAGCAACCUGGUGACCUAUGUAAGGCCAAAGGCACCUUAUUAGGGAUCAAUUAAAAUAGAGAGCUCGUAUUCGAUCAUAUUGGGGGUACUAAACUUACUAUUAGAAUCUUUGGUGUAAUGUCGAGACCUUGCUGCUUGAUUCUCAGCAGCAUCUCAUUCUCCAUAGCACGGACUUGGUCCAAAAUGUAGACAAUCUGUGGGUUGCCAUGACAUAAUAAAAUUGGUGAUAAUAAAUAUUUCCUGGUGUUCAGUUUAUCAAGAGGAAAUAUGUCAAGCUGUCAAAAGUGGGGUAGAGGAUUCUACCUGUCCACCAGUAUCAGGGUACCCCAAGACAUUGGCCUGAGCAAAGUAACCAUGAGGAGAGAGGAUAACAACAUUGAACACCAUUGGGAUUGUUCCGAGGAACUUCUCCAAGGAGGAUGGAUCAGGGGCCUCGAGAAGGUCCAAGAGAAGGUGGAUAGUCUCGCUCGCACGCUGAGCACAGUCACCCCAACCUUUCUCCAAACCAAGUUCCUGGAACCUGAAAAAUUGAUACGCAACGAUUUUAGUUCUUUGUUGAGAGCAAUAAGGGUUUCAAUGAUCAUGUGUAUGAUGAUUAUAUACAGUACCGGUGGUGGAACUCUGAGUAAGGGGUGUCAGCUGGAAGGCCUGACAGAUGUGUCUCUGCCUUCCUGAGUGCACCUUGGAGUUUACUGAGACUGCGAAUUCUGUCGUUCAACAUCAUGGUCUGAAGAAAGAAAGAAAAUAUUACAUGCUCAUCGUGAUUAAACAGCAGGUGUAAUAGUUCCAGUUUAAACUUUCAGUUGGCUCAUAGAUAGUGAUCAGGCUUUUGCACUUACUUAAAGAAUUUGUUCUAAAACAAUUCUUUUUACUUAGAAAAUGCACAUAUCAUCAGGGCAAAUGCCCAACACAUUAAGUAAGAUUGUAUCUAUAUUUUCUUACAGGCUGAGUAUGCUCAUAUGCUGCUUUUAGAUAUAUCUAAGAGAUUGACAUGCUAUAAACAAAUGAUGUAAGCCUUCAACAACAAAGAUAUAGUUUUUCUAGAGAACCUUCAGCAAAGAUAUAGUUGAAUGAUCCAAUCUACAAAGCCAAAUGAUCCAAUCUACAGAGCCAGACACUGGAGAGUGUAACCUACCAUCCCCUUGUAGUUGUGCGCGCGAAGGAAGUUGAGCAACGGGUACAUGCUCUCCUUGUCAUGGAACAGCUUCGACGACAAGUGCCUGUUCAGAAACUGCACACCGUUGCCAAUGGACUUCGACAGCGAUGGGCGCGGGAAGGAGGCGUUGAAUGGCUCAAAGUCCAGCUCAAGCACAAAGUUGUUAUCGAUGCUGCAAUUUGAACAGAAGAAGCGUUGUAUGAUAAAACUAAGGUAUAAGCUGGACUCUUGAAUCUUAAUAAUUUCACAAAUCACAGAUACCUUCCAUUCGCCAGUUGUUCCUUGAACUGCAAAUACUCAGCGACGCUUAACUCCUCAACACCAAGCUCGCUCACAUUGACCCUCACAUACUCCCAGACACCAGGCCUUGGCCGGAUGGCGAGAGCAACCCAUGGAGGGAUGACAAUUGCCUCCUGCAUGACAAACCAAAACAUAGAUCAAGAGCUGAACAUCACAGGAAUGACAGACACUGCAGUGAGUUUUGGUGGUGCAAACCUGUGCACCCCUUAGGAGAUCCUCAAAGGCGGUGUCCUUCAGCUUCUCGCGCUCGGCCUCAGGGAUCGCGGCAUUGUACUCAGCAGUGAUCUGAUGGGGCUGCAGCAUCCCCUUUCCUUGGUUAACAAGCCUGAACAAGUUAUCGUGUAACAGCAGGUGGGUCAGAUCUAUCAACAAACGUUACUUGAACAAAGUGUGGUAACGAUUGUAUCUUAUAUGCAGAGAUUUCUACAAACUGGCAGCCAGUCUAGCCUGCAGAAGAUCAAGGACAGACCUUGAGAAGACGGCGACGAGCUCAUUGGUGUGCACAGAGAGGGAAUCGCCGAUGCGCUCCCUCACGCUGUGGAUACGGCUCAGGGCGCGCUCUC
rnacentral:lncRNA from 1 species